AUAUAUAUAUGCCACACACAUAAAAAAAGGAAAUAAAGUUGCUUUUAGCACAUGUGAGGGAUAAGAGAAAAAUCGCAGUGAUUGUAUGACUUUAGUGUCUCAUAUCAGCUCCAGCCAGUGACGCCGAUCCUACAAGACUGAAUGUUCCACUUCUGAUCACAACUAGGGCUCCUACAAUGCAGGGUGGCAGGCACAAGGCCCUGCAUGCUUUUUACAAGCCUUGGACUUCACAGGCUAUUUUCUAAAUUUUUCACGAAACACUUUUUAAGAACUGCAAAAGCCUCUUUUAGUUUCCACCCCCUCCCCCAUCUUAAAUGUCUGGAAUCUAUUUGAAAGGCAACUCGUGUAGGUAUUCUACAUAGGGUUCAUUUAAAACACCACAAGCAUUUAUUAUAUUACAUAUAGGCAUGGGCCACUUUCCAGUAUAUGAAACGAAAUUGAAAAGUACAUCUUCAAAACAUGGCAAAACAUUGAUGCAUCAAAAAAAAAAAAAAGAUAUCCAAAACUUUUAUCUGAUUUGAAACACAAAAGAGGCCAACAACAGUGAUAGUGAUAGUUCUUUUCACUCAAGAGAAUCCAAUGCCGGCCCAUGCCUGUUUGUACAAAUAUGUGGUUUAGCACCAAACAAGGCUAACACUGUUAGGAAGUCGGUAUUUGAAAGCAAACAGAAUACAGUUACCAGUUUCACCAAAGUCACGUUGAAAGGCAAAAGCACUGCCCCAAAGAAGAGGAAACGUGUCCAAAUUGUGUCAGGGGGAAAACACGACCAUCUGCCAAACAAGACAUGACUGGUUCAAACUUCACGAGCUUAAACAUGCUGCAUUCUGUUGGUUACGUGCGAUUCACUUUUGUAAAUGCCAGGUUGGUUUCUUUCAGUAGUUCUAUUGUAGCAUUUAGAAAGAACUAGAUGUUUAUCUGUACCUUACAGAAGUGCAAUUGAUUUACUAUGUGCAAUACUGUAUUUUAUACUGUUUUUAAAGAAAAAAAGAGACUUAAAAUAAAGCUAUUUAUUAUUCUAAAAAUGGAAAAAAAUAAAUAAAUAAAAACAAGACAUCUACACAGCUCUCGAAAAACGAAGAAGACUGUUUCAUUACUAAAGCAUGCAAACACAAAUUAAAAUGUCUGGGUGAUAAAAUGCUGUCCAACAGUAUCAAUCACACAUUGCGCCAGUUUGAGCAAAUUGCAGCUCAAACUAUCGAAACAGAAUGGGACAAAGCACAUUUUCAUUCAACUAAUUUUGUAUCAAAUUUGUUAAAUAUUUUGAGCCGAAAUCCGAGCCAAGCCAUCUGCAGGCUGAAAAGCUGCUGAAAAUCAACUAGGAAAAAUAUGUUGUGCCUUUGGGGAGCAAACCUUGUGAAAUCUCAUCUGUAGAGAAGAGUCUGCAAAUGUACGUAUACGUACAACAACAACAACAACAACAAAAAAAGAUUUUCUAUGCGAUAACCUGCAGAAGAUUAGGUUGGGAACGCUGCUGUGUCUUUGAUGUGGCGCGGCGGCAAAGAAACGAGAGUGGAAUACAAGAGAAGGGAUGAGCAGUGCAGCGCUUGUGUCUGCCUCGGAGCCUGUUUGAGGACAUCAAAACCGUAAUGCGGUUGGACCAGAAACAAAGUGCAACUAGAACCAGAGACAAGCAGAGGACAAAGCUCUGAACAAAUGCCCCAGAGACGCAGUGAGGCAGGAGAGAUCCUUGUGUAGAUGCGCUAGGUAGUUUGACUGGAGGGCAACACUCCUCCUCCUCCUCCUCUGAGUCACAGUAAGAGUGUCACCAUGGGGCUGUUCCUUUAAGUGCUUGUAUGAAGCACAGUAGAACAAACAUGACAUCCAACUGUCUUUUACACAUUGUCCUUAGUGGCUUAACAGUGUCAGCCGGUUUCACAGAGUUCUCUCAGAAAGGCUACGCUUCUCAAACGUGUGGUUGAGAAUCGGGAAGAAGAGGUCCAGUGAGUGAUAACAAGGUGUUUGAGGCAUUAUGAUGCAUCGCCAUAUCUCACUAUGCUUCUUUUCUGUGAGCUCUGCAGCAGUCUGGCCAGCAGGAGAGAGAGAGAGAGAGAGAGAGACGGAGCAGGAGGAGGGAGAGGGAGCGCGCGCGGGCAGAACGACGCAAGAAGUGAGCAGAUAUGUUUGGACAGAAACAGACAUAAACUCAUAAAAGACGAAGAGGAACAAAAUUAGAUGGAAAACCGGAGGAGUAUCCUGAUCCGACCAGGCUUAAUGAAACAGAUGCUUUUGCGGAACGCUGUUUAUCCAGAGAGCAUGCAGCAGAGAAGACAAGCACCAGCUCCCAUAGCCAGUCCACCCAGUGCUGUCAAUCAAUAACACAGGGUUCUUCCCCUGCAGCUCCGCACACUGCAGGGAAACCUCCAGAAGAACUCCACGGGAGCGCAGCGGUCCGUACGCACGGUGCGCUUCGCUGUUGCUAAAUAAGAGAAACGGUAGUUUGACAACCAACGUCUCAAUCUACGUCCCUGAAUCUUGCAAUAAAAAUUCAUAAACUUGACGGCGAGAUGUUGCUUUA